AGCUCCAUGCCAGCCUGAGUUCCAUCCUGCGGGCAGCCUCCACCCCAUCAGAGGUGCAAGAAUGGGUUUGGUGCUGAAAACUGUGAAAUGAAAGGAAUCUGGCGACUGGACUUUGCAUGUCAUGCGCUGCCUGGUGGUCCAGGAAGGUAUAUAAAGCCCUUCAUGGUUCAGAGAUCUUCCAGCAGAUUCUCUUGACUUCUCCUCGGUGAACUGGGUCUCCAGCACAGCUGAAAGAUGUCCUGCCAGAAAACCGUGUGCGCUGAGCCAUGCGCUGCCCCGUGCGAUGGAAAAGGCCCCGAGCCCCGUGCUGCGGCCUGCAAUGAGCCCUGUGUCAUCGCCUGCCCAGACUCCCGUG